GAUGAACGCUAGCUACAGGCUUAACACAUGCAAGUCGAGGGGUAACGAGAGGAAAGCUUGCUUUCCUUGUCGACGACCGGCGCACGGGUGAGUAACGCGUAUCCAACCUGCCCCCAACUAGGGAAUAACCUUGCGAAAGUAAGACUAAUACCCUAUAAUUUCCUCAGAUGACAUCUGACGAGGAAUAAAGAUUUAUCGGUUGUGGAUGGGGAUGCGUCUGAUUAGCUCGUUGGCGGGGUAACGGCCCACCAAGGCAACGAUCAGUAGGGGUUCUGAGAGGAAGGGCCCCCACAUUAGAACUGAGACACGGUCCAAACUCCUACGGGAGGCAGCAGUGAGGAAUAUUGGUCAAUGGGCGGAAGCCUGAACCAGCCAAGUAGCGUGCAGGAUGACGGCCCUAUGGGUUGUAAACUGCUUUUAUACAGGAAUAAAGUUAGCCACGUGUGGUUAUUUGUAGGUACUGUAUGAAUAAGGACCGGCUAAUUCCGUGCCAGCCGCCGCAGUAA
rnacentral:rRNA from 1 species